rnacentral:SRP_RNA from 2 species
GCCAGGCGCGGUGGCGGGCGCCUGUAAUCCCAGCUACUUGGGAGGCUGAGGCAGGAGAAUAGCUUGAACCCGGGAGGCAGAGGUUGCAGUGAGCCUAGAUCGCGCCACUGCACUCCAGCCUGGGUGACAGAGCGAGACUCUUCCUCAA